rnacentral:rRNA from 1 species
UAGAGGGUGAGAAUCCCGUCCUUGACAUGGACCCCCGGUGCUCUGUGAUACACUUUCAACGAGUCGAGUUGUUUGGGAAUGCAGCUCAAAAUGGGUGGUGAAUUCCAUCUAAAGCUAAAUAUUGGCGAGAGACCGAUAGCGAACAAGUACCGUGAGGGAAAGAUGAAAAGCACUUUGGAAAGAGAGUUAAACAGUACGUGAAAUUGUUGAAAGGGAAACGAUUGAAGUCAGUCAUGCUCUUUGGUAUUUAUAUCAUUGAGUGGGGUCAACAUCAGUUUUGAGCGAUGGAUAAAGGCACUAGGAAGGUAGCACUCUCGGGUGAACUUAUAGCCUAGCGUCAUAUACAUUGUUUGGGACUGAGGAACGCAGCAUGCCUUUAUGGCCGGGAUUCGUCCACGUACAUGCUAGGAUGU